AGUAACGCGUGGGUAACCUGCCUCAUACAGGGGGAUAACAGUUAGAAAUGACUGCUAAUACCGCAUAAGCGCACAGAAUCGCAUGAUUCGGUGUGAAAAACUCCGGUGGUAUGAGAUGGACCCGCGUCUGAUUAGCUAGUUGGUGGGGUAAAGGCCUACCAAGGCGACGAUCAGUAGCCGACCUGAGAGGGUGAUCGGCCACAUUGGGACUGAGACACGGCCCAAACUCCUACGGAAGGCAGCAG
rnacentral:rRNA from 1 species